rnacentral:misc_RNA from 1 species
CGCACAUGGCGCCUUCUGGUAUUCCGGGAGGCAUGCCUGUUCGAGCGUCGUCACCCCUUUCCAGCUUUGCUGGGUUUUGUAGCCGGCCCCGUUGGGGUCCCUGCAAAAAGCAAUGGCGGUACAGACUGACCUAGAGUGCAUUGAUGUUUUUCGCUCCUAGGUUAGGAUGGACUUGCUUUAAAACUAUAUAUCUUUCCGAUAUAUCUGACAUUUGACCUCGGAUCAGGUAGGGAUACCCGCUGAACUUAA